AACCCUAUCCACCGUUCUCGGCAGGUAAAUUCUUAAUCUAUUAAUCAAUCGGUUGAUUUGGUAAUUGAGGUAUCAAAUGUUCCAUUAGCAUGCUUUUUCUCCACUGCACCUCUCUUUUGUAACGAUACUCAAUUGAGGUUUCAAUCAAUUGCUCGUUUCCUCUUUUCUUCCUUUUGCUUUCAAUCACAAAUCAAAACCAAUGUGCAGCUUUAUAUGCUUGGAAUAUCUUCGAUGAAGUUUACAUCCACGCCUAACUUAAACAGCAAAGUUUUCUUUUCUUCCCGUUCUUAAUUAUCUAUGCGGCAAUUUCUUCCCGUUCAGGAAAUUCUUAGCUAAAAUCACCUGGGUUACAUCCUCGACGCAUG
rnacentral:misc_RNA from 1 species